rnacentral:rRNA from 1 species
AGAGUUUGAUCAUGGCUCAGGACGAACGCUGGCGGCGCGCCUAACACAUGCAAGUCGAACGAGCGAGAGAGAGCUUGCUUUCUUGAGCGAGUGGCGAACGGGUGAGUAACGCGUGAGGAACCUGCCUCAAAGAGGGGGACAACAGUUGGAAACGGCUGCUAAUACCGCAUAAGCGCACGGCAUCGCAUGAUGCAGUGUGAAAAACUCCGGUGGUAUAAGAUGGACCCGCGUUGGAUUAGCUAGUUGGUGAGGUAACGGCCCACCAAGGCGACGAUCCAUAGCCGACCUGAGAGGGUGACCGGCCACAUUGGGACUGAGACACGGCCCAAACUCCUACGGGAGGCAGCA